CCAAGGGCAGGAAGGAGCAGCGAGACUCAGCGGUUUCAACUACCUAGUAGUUCAUUUUUGUUCUUGUUUUUCAGUUAGCAAUCUGUAAAAUUUAUUGCAAAAUUAAGCUCUCUGCUCCAGAGUCAAUAAUAUUCCUGGUGCCAGGUGGUGUAAUAAUUCACAGGAAGGGCAGAAGUUGGAGGGAAUGAGACUGAUUUAGGAAGUAGACUUCCAAGGCCUAUUUGCUGCUGCCUGCUCCCUGCUGCUAAAGGUCAGGGGAUCAAACCCAUGCCAGACAAGCAGUCCGCCACUGAGGUACACCAGUGUUCACAACAAUGUGUUUUGACUACAACCACGUAAAUGAUUUGCUGUGAAGAGAGAAUACAAAGUUAUAAAAGAUUGGAGAGAUUUAGGACAAGCCUGGAUGUCUACAUGGAGCUAAACAAUACUUGAAUCAAACAAAACGAAAAGAAAGGACAUCUGGGAACAAGAAAGGGAAAAUGACAAAGACAUGGAAAUAGCAGAAAAAAUGAAAGGAUGAAACAGCAGUGAUUGGUAUUGACAUCUACAAAAACUGACCCUGAACACUGAAGCUCUUGUUCACUGGAUGGGAAUGACUUUCUGCCACUCAGUCACAUGUGGUGGAGAUAUAAAGUGACUUUGGGCUAAUCUAACACAUCCCCUUGAGUCACUAAAUGGAGUGGAGUCCGACAUGUGCAAACAUGCCACCACGUGGAGUGUGAUGGUGUCCACUUCUUUCUGCCUGUGUGGAAGCAAUACGGUAGAAGUGAAGACCUGCCGCCAAAAUUGCAUCAGGAACCGGAACUGCCAGCAUUGUAUGUUCUUUACAUGGUUUCGCAGAGCAGAAACGCUUUGCUAGCACCAUCGGGUCUGACACAUGGUUUUCAAUAUCAUUGCCUCAAAGGAAUUUAUUUCAACCAUGUCAGAGAUGUAAUUGGUUUUCAGAGAGUAGUUAUUCUGUUUGUGUACUUCUGGGUUCUUCUGGUCCUGGACCUCCAAAGAACUUCAAAAACAAUAUGUAAAAAGAACAACUGGAUUUGAACAGAUACAUUGGAUAUGGAAAUUAGCAAAGUUCCAGGAUGAUAGUAUAUAGCAGGGCAGUUUAGCAGAGGAACUCUGUCCAUUAUCUUGUUGGAUUUCACCAUGAAGGUUUCAUUAAGUCAUUUUACUUUUGUUAAUUUCAAGAAGAGAGUGACAAGAAUUAGAAAGAAGAGACCAUUUAGUGACUACUGAUGGCUUCAUGACUGAGUCGCUGUAAUAUAUUUUAGUCUUGUUAGCAUGGUACUUAUUUCUGAGUUUUGUGUUUCAUAAUAUGUGAGUAGACCAUUUUAAUGGCAUAUUAUGUAAAGCAGACAAUGAUUUAGGUAGGGCUCAGAACGGUUCAGACUCAGUUUUGGAGUUUUUAAUCCUUGUGACAAGAAUAGGAACAUUCAUUGCUUUGCUGAAAGAGAAUGGGAAUUUUAAAAAUUAGUUUAUUUUAUUGAUGAGCAACACAUACCAGUGGAAUUUGCUGCACUGACCAAUUAUCCAAGCAGUAGAAUAACUUGUGGUAAAGGAGAGUAGACAAUUAAUAUAGUGGUAAUAGUUAUCUGUGAUUAGCAAUUGAGGAGAAAGACUUACUGGUAAAGAUAUUGAUAAAGCCACAGUAUACACUCUCUCUCUUCUUUCCUCCCAUUUUAUCUCAACACAAGAUCAUACUGAAAAUUCUUGUAAUCCCUACACACUAAAAUUUUUGCCACAUUCACUUCUGGUCAACACACUAUAAAACAAAACUAUGAAGAAACUUUUGUCUUUAUAACUCAUAAUUCAACAUAGCUUUCUGGAUAUGUCACAGUCUUAAUAAAACAUUUUGCAGUUGUCAGAACUGGAUGUUAGUUUUGAAUGAGAAAUAAAUAUGUCUCUCUGACAUUUAUGAUGACAUGACAAUCAAAAUCAACAUCAAGGGGAUUUAUAUUCUAUAAUAAGUGAAAUAAAGAGAAAAUAUGGUCUCUUUUGGUAUUCAAAUGAAGAAUAAAAUACUAAAAAUGGCAUUGAAAAUCAAGAAGAAACUUCUCUAGUCUUUCCUGGAAAUUAUUUUUUAUAUUGUGGGCAAGAUAUGAGCGAUAGGAAGGGAAGAGGAGGGGAAAAUGGUCGAGUUGUGUAUGAAUGUGCAUCAGCGCCCAAAUAUGAUAUGUUUAUUAUGCAUCUCAAACAUACUAACAAAAAAUUUUAAACACGAAUCUUUUCACAUGUCAGGUGAUGGGUGACAAGUAAAAACAGUAUUUGAGAACUAAAGUUUAUGUUGCCAUUUAGUUUUCUUUUAAUGAGAACAAGAUCUGUUCCUUUAUUUCUAAGAUCUAAACCGAAAGUAAACAUUGAAUGGCUUUAUCAUUUCUUUGUGAAACCUCAUUCAUCAGUGAGUAUAUUUAUGAUUGACAUAAGAAGACUGUUUUGCACUGACAUUGGAGAGUAAAGAAUGCUUCCGUGUGCUUAGUUCUUUUCAAUGGACCGCACCAUGCCUUGCAACUCCAGUGAAUAACAUGUUGCACCUGCUUUACAAUGUGUCAAAAGAUUUUGCAUUUGUAAAUUCUACACUAACUUGUGUAAAAUCCUUUCCUACAGAUGAGUAAACUGAGUUUUGGAAGAGCUAAGUAGCUUCCUUUCCCAGGGUUCACAAUUAAUAACCACUAAACGAGAGAAUGGAGUCUAUUUAUGCUUGGAGUUUUUAUUAUAUCUCAUUGCAUGUAAAUAAAAAUAUUACUUUCUGCCUCA